UACAGAGGGUGCAAGCGUUGUUCGGAAUUAUUGGGCGUAAAGGGCGUGUAGGCGGUUUGCUAAGUCAUGUGUGAAAUCCCCCGGCUUAACCGAGGAACGACGCAUGAUACUGGCAAGCUAGAGUACCAAAGAGGGGGGUGGAAUUCCCGGUGUAGCAGUGAAAUGCGUAGAGAUGCGGAGGAACACCGAUGGCGAAGGCAGCCCCCUGGGCUGACACUGACGCUCAGGCACGAAAGCGUGGGGAGCAAACAGG
rnacentral:rRNA from 1 species